GGAGGGGUACCCAAGCGGCUUAAGGGAGCGGUUUCGAAAACCGCGUCGCGCAAGCGACUCGUGAGUUCGAAUCUCACCCCCUCCG
rnacentral:tRNA from 1 species